rnacentral:lncRNA from 1 species
UCAAAUAUUAAUUCAAAUUUCACAAUAAUGAAAAUGGUCAAUAAAAAAAAGGAAAUAAAAUCAUAUUAUCUUAUUCACUAAUAAAAAUAGCACUAAAUCCUACCAACUAUUUUCAAAACAAAAUUAGACCGAAGCUCUUGCCAAAGGUAAAAAACUAUUGUUCUAACGCUAUGCAGUUGCAUUCUUCAAGUUCUUCGUGUGAAAAAAGUUGUCCUAAGAUCCUUGAGUGCAAGAAUCAGAGAUUUUGACAACAUCUGCAAAGUGUCACCUGCAAUAAAAAAUUUAUAGAGCCUUAGAUUUAUGAAAAAUUGCUUCUGAUAAAUAUAUAAUGAAGUAAAACUGCACUAUGUGUCAAAUAUCAUGUUCGAACAAUCAUUUCAUCAAAUAGAUCUUCAAGAGUUUGAUAAUAAAAAUACACCUCAUGCAGGCUUGAAAUGCAUCAAAUAUGCAUAUUACGGAGAGCAUAUCGAGAGAAGUUGAUUCACAAAGGAUAAUGCAAAAACCUGUAAAGUGCAACAACAACUUAUCAAUUAAACACUCAAAAAACCACGACUCCUACCAGAAAAGAACACAAAUAGAUCCACAUGUAUACAAAUUUCCAAAAAAGAAAAAAACACAAAGUUCUAGAUUAUCAAUGCAAGCACCAAAGACUACUAAUACCUUCUCAACAAAGAACAAAAGGGUCGCUGAUAUUUCAUAACACAAGCAUAAUAUCAUGGCAUGCAUUUUCAUCGACUCUUAUGAACAACAUUGUUUCCCAAGGCAUCAAUAAUCAUGCUAAAUUGGAAAACCAAAAAAGAAAACCAACUGAGAAUAAAUACUACCAAAUACCAAUAGAAUGUUCUUAUUAGCUAAAGAUUCAUGCACUUUGUAUAAACUGGAUACUUAAUUUUAUCAUAAAAAUAAUAUAUAGAGAAAAUAAAAAUAAUAUCUUGAUGGUUACCUUUCUUUGCAUUUUAAAUAUCACCAGUUCAAUGCAAUAAGUUCAUCAUUGCAAUGCCACUUUUAUAGCCUUGGCGAAGAGAUUUCUAUUACUCUAGUGAAACAGAAUGAUGGAAUAUUCCAACUGAAAACCAUGGAGAUAAUAAAUUCUUCUGUUGUAUAACUUAUUGCUUAUAGUUUCCAUGAGUAAAUAGGUGGAACUAAAUAGCACCAUGAAAGAGAGUGGAUAUCCCAUCGAACCAGUCCCCUGCAUAUGUAAGAAGAAAACAAGACAACAUUUAGGUUUCCUUGCUGGAAAGCAGAGAUAACAAACCUGUAAAUUGAAUAAGCAUCUUAAAUGAGUGGCUCAGUGCCUUCCCAGGAUCCCUUGCUUUCACCAAAAAAGAAGAGCUAAAUUGCAUUGCACUACACACCUCUCGCUAUAAACCUGAAAUUAGUACCGAGGACAGUGUAAUUGACGUAGUCAAUGAUUCAACAUGAAAUUCUCUAUUCCCUCACCAAGACUAAAAGGUAAAAUAAAUAAUACAAGAGACACAAAAAAGAAUGACAUCAAUAUAUAGAAAAUCAAGUAGUUUAAACAAUUUUUUUAAACACAUUGGCAAUUAUUAGUAAAUUUAAAUGUUCUUGGCAAGAGAUCAUGCUAUCCUAACAAAGACAUUUGAAAGCCAACUUCUAUGGUUUAGAAACUUGAAAAAACCAGCUUUAUCCAAGACAUAGAGAAUAUCAUUAUUGCUCAAGUAACAGAAACCAUGUGCAACAAAGUCCUUCAUCUCCAGCUUCUAUUAAUGGUUCAGGCUGAAAUAAAAUAAAAAUAAAAAUAAUAGCAGGAGGAAGAAAUUGGAUCAUAAAUUCAGUAAAUAUAAUAUUUCAUUCCACACUUCUAUAACUUACCUCAUGAAUCAAGACAUGCUUUACUGCAAUGCGAGAUUAAUAUAACACGAAUUGUAACCCUACUAGAAGACAAACCAAAUAAAUAUAUGAGAUAGUUCUAGAGCAAUAAUACUAAGUAUUCAUCAUUACAUUGAAAACUCAAUUUGUAUAAACAUCUAACUAGCUUCAAAGUAUACAAAAUUGCUAAAGACUGCAAAGUAUUACGAUAGUGGAAUUUGCAUAGAUGCAUACCUUAAUUCUCUACAAACGACAUCAACUUUCUAAACAAAACAAACUUCCUGAGGAUUCCAAUACCAUACUUCAACUUUCUAAAUAAUAUCAACAUCAAAUUUCUAUAUAUUAAAAAGGACGAUACCAGAGCAUACAUAAUACAUUUGCUGUUCAAUUCUGCCAAAAUCUUAGUCCUCUUAGAAUAAAAGAGAUAUCAAACACCAAACACCAACACUAAAAUUUUUCUUAGAGAAAAGGUAAUUAAAGGGAGAAUUUCAAUUCAUCAAAUACCAGUUAGAAUUCGAUAUAUAUCGCGAACCGAAAAUAAGUAAAAAUUCUCCCUGCUCAAGCUGUCGACCAACUGUAGUUGCUGCCCCCCUUUCGCUGCCAAAAUUGGUAACGCUAUUACCUCCUUUGGCCACAUCAGCCGCUUGUCGUUUGGUCGGAUCGGCACCGUGCACACCUGAAGUGUCGACCGCCAAAUGAUCUGCCGCUUGAACUAUAUAUCCACUUCGCAAUCUGCCAUCUUGCCUUCUUCAAAGCACAAACCCUUCCCCCUUUCACCAAUUACAUAUGUAAUAGGAUGAAAAUAAAGAUUUUGGCUGUGGCGUAAAUUGAAUUGAUAANGUUAACCUCUCAAAAUAAAAAAUAAAAAAUAGGGGUUAUGGCAAAAAAAAUAACACGAACUUACGAAAAAAGUUUUAAAUUUUCUACCUGAACUUUCAAUUAAGUAAAAUAUAUAUUAUAUAUAUAUAUAAAUUAAUAUUUUUAUUGCAAUUUUCACCUGAAUUUGAUUUUCGGCGAAAUCAAAGUUUAGUUGGCAGUCGGAAUUUCACUUGAUGUUGGUCUAACUUCUGAUGAUGAGUAUUUAGAAAUUCGGAGGUCCAAGAAGGAAAAAAUUAAUAUAUACGUACUUGACUUAAUUUCGACUAUCAAUUAAGCUCUAAUUUCGUUGAAAGUCAUUAAGUUAAACUUAGGUGAAAAUUACAAUAAAAAUAUAAAUUCGUGUAUCUUUUUGGCUUAAUUCACUACAACAAAAAUUGGUUUAAAUGACAUUUAAAAAUGUUGCAAUAAAUAGCUUAUUACAACAUUUUACUUUUCUCCACGGUGAAUCUUAAUGUCGCCUCUAUGAGUGUAGCUAAAGAUAAAAUUAGUUAUUGUGACACUUCUAAAUAGUCAGCAUAAAUUGAUAAGAAAAUCAGAUUUUAUAAAUAUAUUAUGACAUUAAUGAUGGGAAAAGGUGUAUAACCCAACGUUUGUUAGUGACUCUAUAAAUAUAAUAUAAAAACAUCUUUUUGACACUUUAAAACUUAAAAUGCAUAUACGCAGAUAUUCUAUAUCUCUGACUUCAUAAUUUAAUUUAUGUCAUACAAAAAAAUUAUCAACAUUAUUAAAACACAUGUUUAACAGAAAUAUAUAAAGAACAUAUAUAUAUUUCAAAUAUAAUUCAAAUUUCACAAUAAUGAAAAUGGUACAAUAAAAAAAAAGGAAAUAAAAUCAUAUUAUCUUAUUCACUAAUAAAAAUAGCACUAAAUCCUACCAACUAUUUUCAAAACAAAAUUAGACCGAAGCUCUUGCCAAGGUAAAAAAACUAUUGUUCUAACGCUAUGUAGUUGCAUUCUUCAAGUUCUUCGUGUGAACAAAGUUGUCCUAAGAUCCUCGAGUGCAAGAAUCAUAGAUUUUGACAACAUCUGCAAAGUGUCGCCUGAAAUAAAAAUUUAUACAACCUUAGAUUUAUGUAAAAUUGCUUCUAAUAUAUAAUGAAGUAAAACUGCACUAUGUGUCGAAUAUCAUGGUCGAGCAAUCAUUUCAUCAAAUAGAUCUUCAAGAGUUUGAUAAUAAAAAUACACCUCAUGCAGGCUUGAAAUGCAUCAAAUAUGCAUAUUACGGAGAGCAUAUCGAGAGAAGUUGAUUCACAAAGGAUAAUGCAAAAACCUGUAAAGUGCAACAACAACUUAUCAAUUAAACACUCAAAAAACCACGCUCCUACCAGAAAAGAACACAAAUAGAUCCACAUGUAUACAAAUUCCAAAAAAGAAAAAACACAAAGUUCUAGAUUAUCAAUGCAAGCACCAAAGACUACUAAUACCUUCUCAACAAAGAACAAAAGGGUCGCUGAUAUUUCAUAACACAAGCAUAAUAUCAUGGCAUGCAUUUUCAUCGACUCUUAUGAACAACAUUGUUUCCCAAGGCAUCAAUAAUCAUGCUAAAUUGGAAAACCAAAAAAGAAAACCAACUGAGAAUAAAUACUACCAAAUACCAAUAGAAUGUUCUGAUCAGCUAAAGAUUCAUGCACUUUAUAUAAACUGGAUACUUAAUUUUAUCAUAAAAAUAAUAUAUAGAGAAAAUAAAAAUAAUAUCUUGAUGGUUACCUUUCUUUGCAUUUUAAAUAUCACCAGUUCAAUGCAAUAAGUUCAUCAUUGCAAUGCCACUUUUAUAGCCUUGGCGAAGAGAUUUCUAUUACUCUAGUGAAACAAGAAUGAUGGAAUAUUCCAAC